GACGAACGCUGGCGGCGUGCUUAACACAUGCAAGUCGAACGGAAAGGCCCUUCGGGUGCUCGAGUGGCGAACGGGUGAGUAACACGUGGGUGAUCUGCCCUGCACUUUGGGAUAAGCCUGGGAAACUGGGUCUAAUACCGAAUAUGAUCAUCGGCUUCAUGGUCGGUGGUGGAAAGCUUUUGCGGUGUGGGAUGGGCCCGCGGCCUAUCAGCUUGUUGGUGGGGGAAUGGCCUACCAAGGCGACGACGGGUAGCCGGCCUGAGAGGGUGACCGGCCACACUGGGACUGAGAUACGGCCCGGACUACUACGGGAGGCAGCAGUGGGGAAUAUUGCGCAAUGGAGGAAACUCUGACGCAGCGACACCGCGUGUGGGAUGAAGAUCUUAGGAUUGUAAACCACUUUUAAUAGGGAAGCUCCGGCGUUUACGUCGGGGGACGGUACCUAUCGAAUAAGCACUUACUAACUACGUGCCAGCCGCCGCGGUAA
rnacentral:rRNA from 1 species